UACGUAGGGGCCGAGCGUUGUCCGGAGUUACUGGGCGUAAAGCGCGCGCAGGCGGCCAUCUAAGCCCGGCGUGAAAGCCCCCGGCUCAACCGGGGAGGGUCGUCGGGGACUGGGUGGCUUGAGGACGGCAGGGGCUGGUGGAAUCCCCGGUGUAGUGGUGAAAUGCGUAGAGAUCGGGGGGAACACCCGUGGCGAAGGCGGCCAGCUGGGCCGUUCCUGACGCUGAGGCGCGAAGGCGUGGGGAGCGAUCGGG
rnacentral:rRNA from 1 species